GUGAGGAAUAUUGGUCAAUGGACGAGAGUCUGAACCAACCAAGUCGCGUGAAGGAAGACGGUUCUAUGAAUUGUAAACUUCUUUUGUGCAGGAAUAAAGUGGGUUACGUGUAACCUUUUGUAUGUACUGUACGAAUAAGGAUCGGCUAACUCCGUGCCAGCAGCCGCGGUAAUACGGAAGAUCCGAGCGUUAUCCUGAUUUAUUGGGUUUAAAGGGUGCGUAGGUGGAUUGAUAAGUCAGCGGUGAAAGUUUGCAGCUUAACUGUAAAAUUGCCGUUGAAACUGUCGGUCUUGAGUGCAAAUGAGGUAGGCGGAAUGUGUUGUGUAGCGGUGAAAUGCUUAGAUAUAACACAGAACUCCGAUUGCGAAGGCAGCUUACUGGGAUGCAACUGACACUGAUGCACGAAAGCGUGGGUAUCAAACAGGAUUAGAUACCCGAGUAGUCC
rnacentral:rRNA from 1 species